GAUGAACGCUGGCGGCGUGCUUAACAUAUGCAAGUCGAGCGCACGGACGAGAAGCUUGCUCUUCUGAUGUUAGCGGCGGACGGGUGAGUAAUACGUGGAUAACCUACCUAUAACUCUGGGAUAAUUCGGGGAAACUGUGUCUAAUACUGGAUACAACUUGUAACCGCAUGGUUAAAUGUGGAAAGAGGUUUACUUGUUUUUUAUUGGCUCACUCGCCAUUCGCUUGUUUGUUGGGUAAGGUCUCGCCUAGCCAAGGAAACAUAGCCGACCUGGCAGGGUGGUCGGCCACACUGGAACUGGAACACGGUCCAUGCUCCUGCGGGAGGCAGCAGUAGGGAAUCUUCGGCAGUGGGCGGAAGCCUUACGGAGCGACGCCACGUGAGUGAUGAAGGUCUUCGGAUCGUAAAGCUCUGUUAUUAGGGAAAAACAUAUGUGAAAAUAGCUGUACACAUCUUGACGGUACCUAAUCAGAAAGCCACGGCUAACUACGUG
rnacentral:rRNA from 1 species